UACAGAGGGUGCAAGCGUUGUUCGGAAUUAUUGGGCGUAAAGCGCGUGUAGGCGGCUUGGCAAGUCGGGUGUGAAAUCCCUCAGCUCAACUGAGGAAGUGCGCCCGAAACUGCAGAGCUCGAGUACCGGAGAGGAUGGUGGAAUUCCCCAAGUAGAGGUGAAAUUCGUAGAUAUGGGGAGGAACACCGGUGGCGAAGGCGACCAUCUGGACGGAUACUGACGCUGAGACGCGAAAGCGUGGGGAGCAAACAGG
rnacentral:rRNA from 1 species